UUGGAGGGCAAGUCUGGUGCCAGCAGCCGCGGUAAUUCCAGCUCCAAUAGCGUAUAUUAAAGUUGUUGCAGUUAAAAAGCUCGUAGUUGAAUUUCGGGAUCAGAGUGUCGGUCGUGCCUCGGUACGUACUGGUAUUAUUGGUUCCUACCUUCUGAAGAACCGCGAUGUCAUUAAUUUGGUGUCGUGGGGAAUCAGGACUGUUACUUUGAAAAAAUUAGAGUGUUUAAAGCAGGCUUACGCUUGGAUACAUUAGCAUGGAAUAAUGAAAUAGGACGUUUGAUUCUAUUUUGUUGGUUUCUAGGAUUGACGUAAUGAUUAAUAGGGAUAGUUGGGGGCAUUAGUAUUCAAUUGUCAGAGGUGAAAUUCUUGGAUUUAUUGAAGACUAACUACUGCGAAAGCAUUUGCCAAGGAUGUUUUCAUUAAUCAAGAACGAAAGUUAGGGGAUCGAAGACGAUCAGAUACCGUCGUAGUCUUAACCAUAAACUAUGCCGACUAGGGAUCGGAUGAUGUUAAUUUUUUAAUGACUCAUUCGGCGCCUUACGGGAAACCAAAGUGUUUGGGUUC
rnacentral:rRNA from 1 species